rnacentral:rRNA from 1 species
CCUACGGGUGGCAGCAGUGAGGAAUAUUGGUCAAUGGACGCAAGUCUGAACCAGCCAUGCCGCGUGUAGGAAGACGGCUCUAUGAGUUGUAAACUGCUUUUGUACGAGGGUAAACGCAGAUACGCGUAUCUGUCUGAAAGUAUCUUACGAAUAAGGAUCGGCUAACUCCGUGCCAGCAGCCGCGGUAAUACGGAGGGUUCAAGCGUUAUCCGGAUUUUUUGGGUUGAAGGGGUGCGUAGGCGGUCGGAUAAGUUAGAGGUGAAAUCCCGAGGCUCAACUUCGGAAUUGCCUCUGAUACUGUUAGGCUAGAGAGUAGUUGCGGUAGGCGGAAUGUAUGGUGUAGCGGUGAAAUGCUUAGAGAUCAUACAGAACACCGAUUGCGAAGGCAGCUUACCAAGCUACGUCUGACGUUGAGGCACGAAAGCGUGGGGAGCAAACAGGAUUAGAUACCCUAGUAGUC